rnacentral:rRNA from 1 species
AAACUUUCAACAACGGAUCUCUUGGUUCUGGCAUCGAUGAAGAACGCAGCGAAAUGCGAUAAGUAGUGUGAAUUGCAGAAUUCAGUGAAUCAUCGAAUCCUUGAACGCGCAUUGCGCCCCUUGGUAUCCCGAGGGGCAUGC